AGCCCCGCUCGUCCACAGGCAGGACACCGCCGCACGGCGGAAAAUGGCGGUUCGAUUCCGCCCGGGGCUG
rnacentral:tRNA from 1 species